rnacentral:rRNA from 1 species
UUGAAAGGGAAACGAUUGAAGUCAGUCGUACCUGUGGGUAAUCAGCCUUUUGGGUGUGAUUNUGUGGAGNGUGAGGAGUUAAACGCCUUCAUGCCUGCAUAUUCGGGCACUUUGUAAGGAUUUACCCGGGUGGCAUGAUACCCUCCAUUUCGGNCCGAUAAAAUGGCUGGAGUAAUGNAGCUUCGAUCUUGUUUUGGAGUGUUAUAGCCUUCGGAAGAUGUGAUAAUCGGGAUUGAGGAUUGCAACGGAUACCCCUCGGAGCUACCUGUCUGAUCUCUGAUCGAUGCUCUGGUGCCGAAAGCUUGCUCACGGUUAUCAAAGGCGAUGGCCAAUAGGUUAGAACGGUUUAAAUUCGCUAAGGCUGUUGACGUA